UAGACGAAGCCGGGCUCCCCCUUCACUCGAUGGACACUUUGAUUUCUUUCCAUUCUCGCCUUCAUCUCUCACCCUUCCAUCCCUCACAACUGCCUUCUGGAAAGCCUUCUCUCUUGUACUCGCCACCUUAAGUUUGGCCCUCACUCCAAAGCUUUGCCCUAAACAACCGACUCUGUUUGACCUUGACCCUCUUCCAUUAUGUCAUCAAAUUUGGUAGCUUAAUACAUUUGUUAAAAGGGCGACUGACCCCAACCCCCUCGAAUUUUUCAGCUUCGCAUUACCUUUUCUAUUGUCCACUCCCCUUCCUAUCAGAACCUACUUUCUGUCCUCAGCCUCUUCAAGAUUUCCAGAAAUCCUCUUGACAUCUGCCCCUUUCCCAGUUUCUUUUCCACUUUUCUCACAGCAGAAGAGAGAUUGGGAAUGGCUACCUAGGUUGAGUCCCCUUUGUAUUUUUCUGACACCACCCUUUUUUCUGUGACCCUGAAAUCACAUUAUUUGGGUCCCGUGGGUGUGGCUGUAGUUGGGAGUGUGGGAGUUCUAUUGCUACUGCCCUUAGCAGUCUCUUUGCUUGGAAGCUCAAGUAAAGGAAACUUCUGGGAACUGACCAGAGACCCUUGAAAUGCAACUUGAGUAAACAUCUCAGUCCACCUCUGCUUGGUCACUCUUUAGUUCAUACACCAUCUGCCUCUUCCCACCUCUGGACUCUCUUCACCCCUGUCCCUGCCCCCCCUCGACAUCACAUUGUUCAUCCCUUUGGCACCAGCCCUAGAAGAGGAAAGGGCAGGUCCUCCUCCCCAGGAAGGAAGGUGGGGCAGAGUAGCUCCAGCAGGAAGGGAAGGAAAAAGGAGGGAAGGAAGGAAGUGGCCAACAGAAGAAAUGGAAUCCGGUGGGAGGGCUUUGCAUUGUUUUAACUUCUUUCCUUUUUAGCUCGGUGAAGCCAUGCCCAAGGCCAUCCCAGAGCCAAGGUUAUGCUGCCAUCUCUGAGAAACCGGCUGGGACUGCCUGCCUUAGCCUGGAGGGGACGGUCAGAGGAUUUGGUGGACAUAUUUAAGAGAGCAAAGCAUGAGGCUCUACAGGAGGAAAAUGGAUGAUGUGCCCUGGACUUUCUGGAGUUUAUGCCCAGUGGAGACCCAGACAGGUCAACAGGCAGUUACAAUGAAGUUUGACUGGAGUCCCAGCCUUGGCCCUGAGGAUAUGCAGGAGUUGGUGAGAAAGGGGAAGAUAGUGAUGGUAAGUAGCCAGGAAGCUCCUUCCAGGUAAGGGAUGUCUGUAGAGUUGGCAGAACCCUGAGGGGGGAUCUCCACAGAGCCUUCAUUCCCACCUCCCUGGAGGGGGCUGGGAGAAAGCUACAGGUGCCUGUACCUCAUCAGUCAUGCCUGAGAGCCAGACACUGUUACCAGUGCUCUUGUUGGGGAGAGAAGGUAGCUCAAGGUGGCGUGGAUCUGAUGGUCGAGGGCUGUGACAUCUGUCAUGGCACUUCUUGGCUUUCCCACUGGGAACAAUAAAAUAGCCAACACUUUCCUAGUGCUUAUUAUGUGUGCUUUACGCAUGUGUUCUAUGAGGCAAGUGCUAUUAAUACUGGCUCAUUAUCACAGAUGGGGAAACUGAGGCACAGAGCAGUUGAAUAACUUGUUCAGGGUCAUACAGGCAGAGUCUGGACUCAAAUUCAGGGAGUCAGGCGCCAGAGCCCUCACAUAUACCCAUUACACUAUCCUAGUGGUACCUGUGAACAACGGGAGACGGUGAAUGCCUCUUGGGCUGUUGGUAAAGACAACUGCAGGUGCAAAAUCUCUGAAAUACUCCCAUUUCAUCUUAAAAAUCCACAUACAUCUUGCAUCUAUUAAAAGUCCCUAUAUGUUUAAUCAAGACAAUGCCUCCCACCAAGUAACCAAGUAAAAGUGAUGCUUCAGAGAGAUAUGCCACAUCAUCCCGAGGCACCGAAGAGCCCCAGAGACACGGUCUGUGGCGGGAGCUGUGCCACCAGGCCCAGGUUUCAGAGCAGGAAGAGCUCGGGCUCUCUGGGGAGUUGGACAGGGAGGGACUGGAGCAUUUCGUGGUGGAGCUGCCUUGCUGUUUCCCUUCCACCUCUUCCCCUGACUACACUGGCCACCCUCUCAAGUCAGGGUGCUGUGACUUCCCCACAUGACCUUCGCUGUGAAGGUCACCUGGAAACUGGCUACUCCUGCUUCGUAGUCACUAGGCUGCCUUGUUUGUGACUGCUGUU